AUUGAACGCUGGCGGCAGGCUUAACACAUGCAAGUCGAGCGGGGGAAGGUAGCUUGCUACCGGACCUAGCGGCGGACGGGUGAGUAAUGCUUAGGAAUCGGCCUAUUAGUGGGGGACAACAUCUCGAAAGGGAUGCUAAUACCGCAUACGUCCUACGGGAGAAAGCAGGGGAUCUUCGGACCUUGCGCUAAUAGAUGGGCCUAAGUCGGAUUAGCUAGUUGGUGGGGUAAAGGCCUACCAAGGCGACGAUCUGAAGCGGGUCUGAGAGGAUGAUCCGCCACACUGGGACUGAGACACGGCCCAGACUCCUACGGGAGGCAGCAGUGGGGAAUAUUGGACAAUGGGGGGAACCCUGAUCCAGCCAUGCCGCGUGUGUGAAGAAGGCCUUAUGGUUGUAAAGCACUUUAAGCGAGGAGGAGGCUACUCUAGUUAAUACCUAGGGAUAGUGGACGUUACUCGCAGAAUAAGCACCGGCUAACUCUGUGCCAGCAGCCGCGGUAA
rnacentral:rRNA from 1 species